rnacentral:rRNA from 1 species
UUCAGGGGUAAACCUGAGAAACCCGAAAGGUCGAAAGGGGAAAUUCAUUCGCGUCUCGGAUAUCGGCGAUGAGCAGCCGCGUGACGGAUGGCGUUCGCGUUGUCCGCGCCUUCUGUUUUUCGAACCGGUGACGAACGCGUGCACUUUUCCCCUAGUAGGACGUCGCGAUCCGUUGGGUGUCGGUCUACGGCUCGCGGUGGAGUCCGUGUGCGAUCGUUUCGGCGAUUCGUGCUCGAACCCGCGAUGUUCCGGCCGACUCGCUCGACGGUAUACAGAUGGCGCGAGGCCGCUACGUUAAUUAGCGUCCGACCCACGGCAAGCGCGUUCGAUGCUAAGACGGCGAUCGGACCUAGUGCCGAUUCCGUUUCCGGACGACUGUUGGCCGUGUGGAUCUCUCGGACAGACCUCGUUCGAAACGCUGAUCUGCGACGCUAUAGCUUUGGGUACUUUCAGGACCCGUCUUGAAACA